GACGAACCGUGCAAACGUUGUUCGGAAUCACUGGGCUUAAAGGGCGCGUAGGCGGGUGUCCAAGUCAGGGGUGAAAUCCUCCAGCUUAACUGGAGAACUGCCUGUGAUACGUGGACGUCUGGAGUGAGGUGAGGGGCAUGUGGAACUUCCGGUGGAGCGGUGAAAUGCGUAGAUAUCAGGAGGAACACCUGCGGUGUGAGACGGCUUUCGUGGACCAUUGCUGACGCUGAGACACGAAAGCGUGGGGUAGCAAACAGG
rnacentral:rRNA from 1 species